UACGAAGGGGGCUAGCGUUGUUCGGAAUUACUGGGCGUAAAGCGUACGUAGGCGGAUUUGUAAGUAGGGGGUGAAAUCCCCAAGCUCAACCUGGGAACUGCCUUCUAGACUGCAAGUCUUGAGAUCAGGAGAGGCGAGUGGAAUUCCGAGUGUAGAGGUGAAAUUCGUAGAUAUUCGGAGGAACACCAGUGGCGAAGGCGACUCGCUGGACUGAUACUGACGCUGAGGUACGAAAGCGUGGGGAGCAAACAGG
rnacentral:rRNA from 1 species